CGGGGCGUAGCUCAGCCUGGUUAGAGCGCCUGGUUUGGGACCAGGAAGUCGGAGGUUCGAAUCCUCUCGCCCCGA
rnacentral:tRNA from 1 species